CCUACGGGCGGCAGCAGUGGGGGAUAUUGCACAAUGGGGGGAACCCUGAUGCAGCGACGCCGCGUGGGUGAAGGAGUGCUUCGGCAUGUAAAGCCCUAUCGGCAGGGAAGAAGCAAGACGGUACCUGACUAAGAAGCCCCGGCUAACUACGUGCCAGCAGCCGCGGUAAUACGUAGGGGGCGAGCGUUAUCCGGAUUCACUGGGUGUAAAGGGAGCGUAGACGGCCAAGCAAGCCAGGGGUGAAAGCCCGGGGCCCAACCCCGGGACUGCCCUUGGAACUGCAUGGCUGGAGUGCGGGAGGGGCAGGCGGAAUUCCUGGUGUAGCGGUGAAAUGCGUAGAUAUCAGGAGGAACACCGGCGGCGAAGGCGGCCUGCUGGACCGCGACUGACGUUGAGGCUCGAAAGCGUGGGGAGUGAACAGGAUUAGAUACCCCUGUAGUC
rnacentral:rRNA from 1 species